CUUUCUUCUCUGGGGAAUGAGCUCCUUCUCUCCAAAGUUGAUCUUAACCACUAACAUCGCCCUGUCAGGACCUGAACAAUGACAGCUUUCCUAUGUUCAUUCCAAAAUC
rnacentral:lncRNA from 1 species